UUGACAUGUAUUUGCAAGCGAGUUCUUAGAAGGUCCAAAUCUAAGUGAGGUGAAGGAAGUAUUACAGAUUAUAAUCCUGAAAUUGGUUCAAGGAGCCCUUACACCCUGGGCGACACACAUGAUACAAUGACCAGGACAAAGGGUCACGACCCCACGAGGGAAAGCUAACCUCAAAAACUCGGCCUCAGUUUGGAUUGUAGGCUGCAACUCUCCUACAUGAAGGCAUAAUCGCUAGUAAUCGUUAGUCAGCCAUACAACGGUGAAUCCAUUCCCGUUCCUUGUACA
rnacentral:ncRNA from 1 species